rnacentral:misc_RNA from 1 species
GAUGAAGAACGUAGCGAACUGCGAUAAGUAAUGUGAAUUGCAGAAUUCAGUGAAUCAUCGAGUCUUUGAACGCACAUUGCGCCCCCUGGCAUUCCGGGGGGCAUGCCUGUCCGAGCGUCAUUGCUGCCCUUCAAGCCCGGCUUGUGUGUUGGGUCGUCGUCCCCCCCGGGGGACGGGCCCGAAAGGCAGCGGCGGCACCGCGUCCGGUCCUCGAGCGUAUGGGGCUUUGUCACCCGCUCGAUUAGGGCCGGCCGGGCGCCAGCCGGCGUCUCCAACCUUCUAUUUUACCAGGUUGACCUCGGAUCAGGUAGGGAUACCCGCUGAACUUAAGCAUAUCGAUAAGCGGAGGA